rnacentral:lncRNA from 1 species
ACACAUCGAUCAAGCUUGUGUAGCUUCGCUCCAGAGCUAAAUUUCAGGUAUCUCCCUCUCCUGAUAUAGCAGUAAUUAGAAUAAGCUUUUUGUAUACCCUUUAUUUGCAGAUUCAUUUUUAUGUGAGUAGUAGUAGGAGUUUCGAGUUAUUUUUGGUAAACUUGGUUAGAAUUGACUAGAUUGUGACAUGUUACUCAAUUGUUUCCAUCAGAUCAUCUUCUCAAGUAUUCCAGCUUGUGGCGCUCGGAGAUCUGUUCAAGAAGAAUGGGAAAACGCACCCCCAACAGCGUCAAGAAGAGCAUCUGGCAGAUCUUCUGUGGCUGCUCAUCACCGAAGACCAAGGACUAGUGAAAAUGCCAUGACUCACGUCAUGGACCUUGCAUCGCAUUGGUGAAAUUUGGUCGACCAACCGAAGUUUAAUUUAAGUUAUGGGUGUGAUUAUAAUGUAAGAAUGAUAUUGCGAAGUUGAUUGGUUUCUAGUGAUUUUGACGGGCUAGCCGCUAGCUUCCCUCUGUGGCAAGGAAAAUGUAAAAGAGUGUAAUGUAACCAUAUUCCGUAAUAAACCCCCUUGUAUUUUGUUAUGUGUCAUGUGUGGGCAUCAUCAUGAUAUGUUGUGUUGUUUCCUAGAAAACAUAAGUCACGUUUGUUGACGAUAUACGAGAUUUACUGCUCAAGAGUGGUUGGUGUCCUACACACUUACCUAUGAAUAAAAUAAAAUAAAAA